GACGAACGCUGGCGGCGUGCCUAAUACAUGCAAGUUGAGCGCUGAAGGUUGGUACUUGUACCCACUGGAUGAGCAGCGAACGGGUGAGUAACGCGUGGGGAAUCUGCCUUUGAGCGGGGGACAACAUUUGGAAACGAAUGCUAAUACCGCAUAAAAACUUUAAACACAAGUUUUAAGUUUGAAAGAUGCAAUAGCAUCACUCAAAGAUGAUCCCGCGUUGUAUUAGCUAGUUGGUGAGGUAAAGGCUCACCAAGGCGAUGAUACAUAGCCGACCUGAGAGGGUGAUCGGCCACAUUGGGACUGAGACACGGCCCAAACUCCUACGGGAGGCAGCAGUAGGGAAUCUUCGGCAAUGGACGAAAGUCUGACCGAGCAACGCCGCGUGAGUGAAGAAGGUUUUCGGAUCGUAAAACUCUGUUGGUAGAGAAGAACGUUGGUGAGAGUGGAAAGCUCAUCAAGUGACGGUAACUACCCAGAAAGGGACGGCUAACUACGUG
rnacentral:rRNA from 1 species